CUGAGAAUUGGGACUUAGAAAUAAGCCAGUCCGAGAUGAAAAAAAAUACCAGCAUCGGGGUGGUAACUCCAAAAACGAAAACCGAAGACUGGGAAGCUGAAAUUGCGGUGGCGAAACGUCCUCCAUUCUUUCUCAGCGUGGGCAAAAUAACACAGCGACGUAUAAACCGAAUGCACCGAUGCUGGACCUGUCACUGCGUGCCUGUCAAUUGUCGAUGUGCAAAAUAUUGAAUAAACUUGUUGAAACGUUAA